rnacentral:rRNA from 1 species
GAUGAACGCUGGCGGCGUGCCUUAGGCAUGCAAGUCGAACGAGAGUAGCAAUACUCUAGUGGCAGACGGGUGAGUAACGCGUAGGAAUCUACCCCUGGGUAAGGCAUAGCCGGUCGAAAGGUCGGGUAAUACCUUAUAGUUCUCGCAAGAGUAAAGGACUUAACGGUCCGCCGAGGGAGGAGCCUGCGUCCUAUCAGCUAGUUGGUGAGGUAAAAGCUUACCAAGGCGAUGACGGGUAGCUGGACUGAGAGGUCGAUCAGCCACAACUGCACUGAGACACGGGCAGUACACCUACGGGAGGCUG